UACGGAGGGGGCUAGCGUUGUUCGGAAUUACUGGGCGUAAAGCGUGCGCAGGCGGUUUUGUAAGCCCGAUGUGAAAUCCCCGGGCUUAACCUGGGAAUGGCAUUUGGGACUGCAAGGCUGGAGUGUGGCAGAGGAGACUGGAAUUCCCGGUGUAGCAGUGAAAUGCGUAGAUAUCGGGAGGAAUACCGAUGGCGAAGGCAGGUCUCUGGGCUGACACUGACGCUCAUGCACGAAAGCGUGGGGAGCAAACAGG
rnacentral:rRNA from 1 species